UCUGGGGUUGGGCUUGGGCGCCAGCGUAAAUUUUGUUGUAUGGGGCCCCGUGGUUUCUAAUGACGGCCCUGCUUCGGGGUGACUAAUCUCCCAGAACUGCCUCCGUUUCCUCGUGAGGCAACUUCGGGUGACUUCGGAAAACGAAUUGUUCUGAGUGCUAUCACACCGGCGAUUUACACUCUAGCCGGUGGGAGGCAGUUCGGGGAGAUUAGUCGCCCCGAAGAAGAGGAGAUUUGUCGCCGGACAACUAAUCUCCCAAAUCUGAGAGUGUGCCCUCACCCUUAGGCUCUUCACUUUUCUCUCCCCUUCAUCUCCUCCCCCUUCCCUUGGCUUUCUCCUACCUUCACCUUCUGCCCUCCAUUUUGCUUUUUUCUUCUCAUCCCCUUUAAUGUUUUUGCCAAGAAGGAAGAUGUAGAAAGUUUUUUUCUAAGAAAAAUGUAUCAAUUAGUAUAUGGAGAGCAAUUCAUAUGUCAGUCGUCAUGUACACUUCUUAUCUAAUGUGUGUUAUUUCUUAUGCCAAAUGUGGUUAUACCAACGUAGGCAAUAUUUAUAUUCUUCAUAUUUCAUUGUUUUCUCACAGGGGCCAUUAAUAUAAACAUUCUUGCCUCUCUCCACAUUGUAUUCUGAGUAGGAAGAUACAUGGGACUAGGCUUGCCACCUGAUCGGUUUUGACCCGAACAGUUCGGUUUUUCUAAGGCCUGUUCGGGUUUUCUAAAUAAGCCAGAGCUUUCUGGAUAACUGAUUUCUGUAUAAUAGACCCCAUACCUGUAAUUAAAGUAAUGGGUUUACAUAUCAGGCAGAAUAUAGAUAAGUGAUAGGGUUGCCACCAGUGUUGCGGUUUGCAACAUAAACUCAAUGGAAAUCCAGGCAGUUAUGUCUAAGUGACCACCUUCUUCAUUCUGCCUGCCUCUUAUGUCAUCACUGCUCCACCCCCAAUUCUAUCUGAUCAGCCCUUUGUUUGGGUUUAGCGUCAGCAAAAGUAGCAACCCUACAUGGGACAAAGUGUUGCCAAUGGAUUACAUAGCAUUAAUGAGAAUUAAAGACUGAGAGAGAUCACUUUGAUCCACAUACAAUGAAAUUGGUCUUAGAGAGGACCCCUGACACAUGCUUUAUCUACACCUGACUUGUUAGACUGCUGGUUAGUGACACAGAGGGAAUAUCCAACCGCCCUGGAUUUAUACAUGGGACCGGGUGAAAACAUUGUUGGGAUGUAAUAUGGCAUGGUUGGAGGAAAAACUAAGUGUGCCCGUCUGUAUCGGAGUAAUUGGGGCAUGGCCUCAGGUGUCUUAGAUAUUGUCUUAAAUUAGGGUACGGGUAAAUUGCCUUAGAGUUCUACUGUCUAUAACGUGUUAAAAGAUAAUAUUAAAGUGAAUGUCUUUAACUUUUUUAAUUGCUUUUCAAAAUCAUUAUUUGUUAACAUUUUCUUUUCUUUAUUACAGCAGAAGUUAUAAAAGCACAAUUCUUUAUUUUAAGUGACUUUACCUUUAUCUUCAGUAUGUUUCCUGGGAAUACACCUUGCAGUGAACUGCCUUUGCAUGCUACUGAAAAUUAUAACAUCUUAAUUUUUGUAUUUUUCAGUUUAUUUUAAUGUAACAGUGGUGUGUACAGUAAAUACAUGAUAAUGAUGAUGCAAAAACUACUGACUGACAGCUUGCACAGCAAGAGUGACCAGACUGUGGAGGCAGCAUUGCCCAAAACCAGACGACAUGGAAACAGAGGAUGAAAUGGUGAAAAAACCCUUAUUUAGUCCAUAUUAGUAAAACAAAGACACCUGGACAAAAAUGUUUGGAAACAAUGACAACUUAAAUACCCUCUGUUAACCCUACCCUGGAAGUGGUAGCUAAGUACAGUCCGCUGCCCAGUAAAGUACAACUAGAUGGGGAAAAACAUACAUUAAUAUUUAUUUGACUUAUUAAGUUAAUACAUUCUUGUAUUCUGCAUUUAAAUGACCUGGAGGUGCUCCCGCCAAGCAUGUUGAAUGCAACACUUUUUACAUGUCAAGCACAAAUUGUCUGGAAUGGAUCAACAGUGUUGUGUCCCUUUGUAUGUUUUCAGGAGUCAGCAGCAAGAAUCCAACAAGCAGGAAGUGCAGAAUGGAAAGUAAAAGUAAUAGCCUGCUAUGCCUCUGAGAUUUUGAAAAGAGUUUUUAACAGGCCUGAACAGUGACAAAAGCAUGAGAAGCAGAGACAUCCUGCUCUGUAUAGUUCUUUAAACUGUGUCUCCAUUUAAAUAAUAAUCUGAGCAAUAAUCCAGUGGUAUAUCAAUCAUCCCGCUAUGCUGAAAAUGUUAGGCUGCAAUACAUAAGAGAACAGUAGUGAAUCAUUUGUUCCGUGGUAGGAAAAUAAAUAUUGAAAACAACCUACUGCAGAUUGGCUCUUACCUGUCAUUGUUGCAAAACACAUCCUUUCAAUGUUAAACUCGAAGGGUGGUUAAGAAGUACAAUAUGUCCUUGUAUUCAUCUUUGAAAUGUAAUAGAUGUACUGCAUGAUGGAGAUUUUUGCUCCACAAUGCUUUAAAAAAUUGGAUGUGCAAGGUAUGCUGUAAGCUUUAUUGGUCGGAAGUUGAAUAAAAAGCAAUCUAGUGCUUUAUGCAAGCAAACAGCAGAUAAAACAUUUGGAUCAAUGGAGUGGGUUAUUUCUGGUUUUCCAAGAGGUUACAACAGUGAUGUAUAGCAGUAUACAUUUAAAAAAAAAAAAAACCGUAAUACAGUAAUAAAAAAUAUAUAUAAUUGUGUAAAAUAAAAGAGAAAAUAACUGAAUCUGUAGAUGACCAUAAAAAAAUAUUAUUUGGAGUGUUAAUGGAGAAGUAAUGGUUCAAUCACAGAGGGUUACCAAGUUGUUAGUCACCCCUGGUGAUUAUAGUCACUUACCUUACAUAUUUUUGUGAAUAAGAUACAAGUUGCAGCUAGCAUUUUCAUACUGGCAUUUCACUUUCAGAUGUUCAUAUCAAAAAUGACAGUGGCAUUUGAUUCAUUGGGCCCAAGUUUGUAGCAACUAUUGAAGCUUCCAGUUAUGGAAACUCUGCAAUA